CGGUGGAUGAUGUGGAUUAAUUCGAUGCAACGCGAAAACCUUACCUACCCUUGACAUGCCAGGAACUUGCCAGAGAUGGCUUGGUGCCCGAAAGGGAGCCUGGACACAGGUGCUGCAUGGCUGUCGUCAGCUCGUGUCGUGAGAUGUUGGGUUAAGUCCCGCAACGAGCGCAACCCUUGUCAUUAGUUGCCAUCAUUCAGUUGGGCACUCUAAUGAGACUGCCGGUGACAAACCGGAGGAAGUGGGAUGACGUCAAGUCCUCAUGGCCCUUAUGGGUAGGGCUUCACACGUCAUACAAUGGUCGGUACAGAGGGUUGCCAAGCCGCGAGGUGGAGCCAAUCCCAGAAAGCCGAUCGUAGUCCGGAUCGCAGUCUGCAACUCGACUGCGUGAAGUCGGAAUCGCUAGUAAUCGUGGAUCAGCAUGUCACGGUGAAUACGUUCCCGGGUCUUGU
rnacentral:rRNA from 1 species